GGAAGGAUUCCUGUCCUGUCUACUAAGAAAUGUUAAGUCAAUGUCACAAUUGUCACCUCUUCAGAGCCGUGAGGUUUGUUUGUUGUUUUGUACUGGACUAUGUUCUUCUAAGCAUCAAAAUGCAACCUCUCGAUUCUGGUCCUGAUGGUUCUCUAGACUCCUGCCUGGCUUGCCACUUGCUCUUCUUGUCUUGCCUACACUGAGUCAUGUUGCAGUUUCCCUUCUGGCUCCCAGCCUUACACUAACUCUGGAACACUCAGAGCUGAUAGGCCAGCCCUGCUAGGGAGACAGAGGACUCCCUGGCCUGCAUGAGACGUGCUCAUCUCAUUCUGACUCCUCCUUGCUGCCUGGCUCUCCUGUUCUCUGGCCCAACUCUCCUUCCUGUGAUCUGACCAGGUUCUAGGCGAGGCAGUAGCAUAGGAAGGAUCCAUUCAUAUCUCCAUCUGUGUUCAGCAGGACAGAAAGGUUCCCUAAGAAUGAAGAGAUGGUAUUAAAGAACCCUUCUUGAAGAAAUCACCAUUUGGCCCAUCAGGUCUCCUUUGAUGUCUAUAUUUGAAAGGUGGCAUUGUUGUUAAUACUCGGGGAAUGCAUUCCCCAUCUCUAACUGAACUAGCCCUAGUGAAACCCCUAGGGCUCUUCCCUUGCUUCGGGGACACUUUACCUUCUAUGGAGACCUCUAGCAAGAACCACAAAGACCAUGAUGGCGCCUAUUCUUUUAUGGCCUACACUCCAGUUAGUGCAGACCUUAGGGUGAAUUGCAACCUACGUCGCCUCUUGACCCUCCUCUUGAGUUGAGGUCUUCAUCCAGGAAAAGCCUGCUGUCUUGCUGAUCUCCUUAUUCCCUGGCAUGGCCAGAGCCCUCUGUCCCUUCACGGAGAGCAGCCAAACCAGGAUGAAGACCGUGCACUUGGUCUCACAGAGAAACAACUUUUGCUUCUCUUUCAUGGGAAAGAAAUUAACAAAUUAUUUUCUCCAUACAGACCCUCAGUUUCAGCCCCUGUUCUUAAAGCAGAGAUGGUAUUUACAGCUAAUGAAACCACAAGAAAGAGAACUCCUUUUGUAGGGAGCUGGCACCUUUUGGUUUCCUUUCUAUAACCCACAUGCUCCACAGAUAAGGUGAAAUGGAUGUGUAGCCCCACAGACAGUCUAAAAUGAAACAAGGGGCAUUUCCUAGAAGCUGCAGGGGAAGCAUGUUGGAGCAUAUGGAGCGGAGUAGACAUGCACAUCCCCACGCUCUCUGUGGAGAGGAGAACUGUGACUGUGUGUACCAUGGGAAAGAAGAUGACACCCUCCAUCAGCAAGGCAGCUAAUUUGGUCUUGAAAAGAGCAAUGAUUUGGGUACAAAGCAAUCAUGUUCAACUGCAUAAGUUGGAUUCUGUGUGCUGUGUUCCCGGUUAGUCCCUAUCCUGUUCUUGAUGUUCUCUGCAAAAGAGAAUAGAAACACUAUCCCUAUAAAAUCUUCGUGAGGCCUAUACUAGCCUGUCCCACCUGGACCCCUCUCCUAUGCAAAUGACUCUCUAGAAUAAGAGAAGAGGAGGAGAAAAUGAUAGACCAUCCAAGGGAAAUAUGCAUAAAGAUUACCUCCUCCAGUGGCUAACAACUCACAUGAAUCCCAGAUCAAGGAAGAAGAGACUCCGUAAUGACAGCUCACUUGCCUUCUUUCUCCCCCAAAUCUCUAUCUUUACAAGGCCAUCCUGUCAAAGCCCAAGUCCAUCAGACCUGUGUUGGAAUCACAUCUUUGAAGUGAGCAUCCUGCUGUGUCUCAUGAUCCUCCCUGUGUGUAAUUGCUCUAAGAACCAGGUAGCUGAUGCACAGAAGCUUCAGCCCAGGGUCUGAUGGUAGUCGUGUUACUUCUGUCAUUUUCAUCAGGAGUAACAUCUUCUGUCCACUGGCUAAGAAAGCUUUUAAUAGACACACUGCUGACUGAGAAUUUUCCUCCCAUUGUAGUUCAUUUCAUUCCCCAGAAAAUUUCUCAACCCUUCCUGAUUCUGUUGGAACAUGUGUGAAAUUCAUUACUUCACAGACUCGGAGUCUUCCUGCCUCGAAGCCAUUCCAUAGCUGUGCCAAAACACACGAGUCUGCUGACAACAUAUUACUGCAUCUAUGAAACGGAGACGGGGCAGCCUGACCCAUGCUUCAGGGCAGAGUGUGUGUGCUUAUGAACAGAAUCACCUUCAACCCAGAUACAAUCUUUAUUGUUAUGACUUAUCUCUGCUUCUUCCUGAGUACUGGCAAGAUGGACCAGGUAUUUUCUUCUCACCUAGAUACCAAAAUAAAGACUCUUCCAAACUCCUGGCUUCUGAGUUCUGAUGCCAGGGUGUAGGAGCCAGCCCCUGAGUCACUCAUCUGAGAGCCAAGCUGAGGGGAGGUGGUUUUCAUUUCAGGAACUAGGAACAGGACAGGACCUUUGCAGUACUCUGGACCAGUGUACAAGUGACGUUCUUUAAAGACUGAUUUGGAGAAUUUGCUAGUGUCAUCUAUGAUUUCACAGCAUCACACAUUAAAGUUCAGCGUCUUCAUCAGCCGUCUUUAUAUAACUCGUGCUAUUUCGAGUUCUACUUGCGAAUGCACAGACUCAGGCAAACGCAAGACUGUGGAGAGCCUGGCUUGUCUCCAGGGCCCACUCUCCAAUGUGGAAUCACUGCCACUUGCCUGUUACAAAAUACCUUCUUUUCCUCUCCACACAGCUAUGGAAAGGCUUUCCGAGACCACCCUGACUGUUGGAGAGAAAAGGACAUCUGAACUGAGUGCUGUCUUGAGAAUUAUCCCCACUGUGUGGAAACCAUUACCCCAGGGGUACAUCCUGAGCCUCAGCGGCCAAUGAUCCCAGAAAGAUAGCAGCUAGAAGCAAAACCACGAACUUGGUUCACAGAGAUUUCUUGGUGCACUGUCACUCUCCCUUGUUGCAUGUAUAUCACACCAUACUCUGGGUUGUGGAGAGAUUUGUCUUCCUUAGCGGUAAGCACUCCGUGAUUCACUCUUUACCAAGAACUAAGGAAGAGGAAGUUCAGCAAAUCCUCCCCUUUAGGAGUUGGCCCAGGAUUAUGUAAGUGGGUUGAGAGGAAUAGUAGAAACAGAUGAUUUUAAUUCACCUCAUCUGUUCAGUACCUGCAGCGCAGAUGCGGUGUUUGUGAGCAUUGCAGCAUCUGUUUCAUUAUACUGUUACCACAUCCCUAG
rnacentral:lncRNA from 1 species